rnacentral:rRNA from 1 species
UACGGAGGGUCCGAGCGUUAUCCGGAAUUACUGGGUUUAAAGGGUACGUAGGCGGCCAUUUAAGUCGGGAGUGAAAUGCUACAGCUUAACUGUGGAAUUGCUUCCGAUACUGAUUGGCUUGAAUCAGGAUGAGGUAGGCGGAAUGCGCUAUGUAGCGGUGAAAUGCAUAGAUAUAGCGUAGAACACCAAUUGCGAAGGCAGCUUACUAGACCUCGAUUGACGCUGAGGUACGAAAGCGUGGGUAGCGAACAGG